CAUGUCUUCACCUUUUCAAACCAUCCUCUUCCUCUCCAUCUGGUUCACAAUAAGAUGCUAAAUUUGAUCCUGACCUUCUUGAGUCAUUAAGAUUCACUCUAAAUGUUGACUUGAAUUCUCUGAUUUCUUCUCUGCAGGUCAGGCUCUAGCAGCAGCACACGCCUGCAGGAUGUCUCCAGCUCUGUUCGGACUCCUCCUCGUCCUGCUCCCAUCAUAUGAAGCCAAGAGCGUGAAAUUUGAUCCCUCUCAUCCCAAAAUAGUCCACAAAACAGAAACAGUGGAGUUUAAAUGCAAACACAAUGACAGUGCUUUGCCUGUGAUGCUCUGGUACCAGCAAACCCAGACAGAUGGCUUGAAUCUAAUCGGAUACGGCUUGCAGGGCAACGACCCGAACUAUGAGGAGCAGUUCCAGACUGGCUUCGAGAUUACGAGAGAAGACGUGAAUAAUGGGGCUCUGAUCAUUCGCAAUGUGAACACAACAGACUCGGCUGUGUAUUUCUGCGCUGCCAGUACACAGUGAUGUGGUCUGAUGAGAAACCCUGACUAAAAACACACUUUGGUUUCAGCAGCCUGAUGAAAGGCUGCGUGAGCUCCCAAUACACUCACACUCAGGAUUUAUGAGUACAAUAGUUAUCACAGAAUAUUUACAUCGAUUGGAUUACAUUAGUAUAAGAA